GGGGCAUGUCUAGAUGUCAGCAGACAAUUAUAGUAAAUUUUUACAAUUUGAAAAGAAUAUUUUCAAAGCAAAGUCUCAUCUGAUGGCGUUUGCCUGUAUGUGGGUCAUAUCUCAUCUAAAAUACCUGCUGUAGAUAUUUGCGCCGUUAAAGCGACACUAUUGCGCAGACCUCACAUUCCACUAUUGGUUCCUCUCUCAGGAUCUGCUCUCUUUUCUUUAUUUCUGAUCUAGUUUUCUUUAAAACAUGAGAUAAAAUAGGGACUACUUUGUCAUGUAUUUUUUUUCCUACGCCUGAUAUUCUCUGACACAAGGGGGAACUUUUAAGUCAGCUCCAUUUCCGGUGUCAAAGGAAGUUUUCCCACAAUACGCAUCAUUCUCCUCAAAACAGGAAAUGGAACCUACUUUGUCUUAUGUUUUAAAGAAAAUUAGAUCAGACAAAGAAAAGAGCAGAUUCUGAAUUAGGAAAUAAAAAAAAUGUAUUACAAGUGCCGCUUUAAUAAAUAUUGGUCAAUAUGCCCUAAAAUGUAUCUUAAACUGGUAUUUUCCUUAUAACUCAACAAGGGAGACUGCCUAAAGUCUGGUGGGCAUUAUAGAAAGAUGGUAGUUUGUCAGAAAAUGUCUCUGUUGGCUUUAGUGAUCAAAUGGUAAAUUGAGUGUUUGUGGUAAAGUAACACAUGGUGCCGAUUUAAAAAUGCUCUAUUUUAUGUAACAAAUGAGAAUACAAGCUUUAUGUG